CGGCAGUUGGAUAGCAGCAGGAAUGUUUAUGUAAUGCUAGCCUGAGGUUUAAUGCCACAAUUAAAAGAAUAACAAACCCUCCUGCUGAGGAGCCUUUUGGCUACUCCAGACCCUUUAAUUCCCUUCAGAAAACAGCAUGUCACUUCCAAGGGUUACCCACAACAGGCCUUACUUUGGAGACCUACAGGCGUAAUUAUCUAUUGGGAGAGGCAAGGCUGAGGUCAGUCUGGCUGGGGCGAGGGCCUGCCCUUUGUGCAGAUAUUGGAAUGUCUCGGAAUCCCAGCCAAACCGAAUCAGCCAGGGCUGUGUCUCAUGAGAAGUUACUCCGGGAGGUCAUUUUGUCUGCCGUGCUGCUGAUUCAGGCGGCCUUCUCCAAGCUAACGAGAGUCAGAUGAAUUCUUGGGAAAAGCUCUGUCGUCACCAUCAAGGCCCCAAGUGGAGCUGGGCCCUGAGCCCACCGUGUUCUUUGAUGCCACCCAUCCUUGGAGGCUUACUGCAAGCUCCACCCCUCUGUGAAGCUUCCUCUGCUGCCCAGCACUGCCUGGUGUCUCAGGGUCCCUGCACUCACGGGUCCCCACAGCGAGCCCCAGAGGUGUGGGAGCGCCUCGAGCCGCAGACUCUGCCUUCUACCUCUCCUGGUUUCACUUGGUGUCGCCAGCAUCAUGUCUUCUACAUGACAGAAACUCAAUAAACACUACAAACCCACAUGCCUGGAGUGGGAAAGGACCUUCGAGAUCAAGUGGCCCAGUGGGUUUCUAACAUUUUGUUUUUAAAAAGUGGAGAGAACACUUUGUUCUUUUCAAAUGAACUAUUAUGAAGUCUCCUCCCCUGUGGAAAGCAGAUAAGAAACGAGCUUCCUGAUUGAGGAGAGGGCAGAGGGCUGGAAGCCCCAUGUCUGAUCUUUCUCUACCCCACUCAGCUCCCUGAGGCAGCGCUUGAAAAAUGACUGAUCUGUUCAGACCCUUCACUUUAUACACAACGAUGCUGAGGGCCAGACAAACACAGUGACCCCACUAGGUUCACACUUAUAUCAGUUGCAAAUUUGGGAGGAGAACUAGGAUCUCCAAAGUAUUUCCUGAGUGACCUGCCCAAUUUAUGAUAUGGCUUUACUUUUGUCUGAAAGAAGGAAGGGAGGAAAGAAGGAAGGAAGGGAAGGAAGGAGGAUAGGUAGGAAGGAAGGAAGGGCAGGAAAGAAGCAAAUAGUGGGGAGAAAGGAAAUAAAGAAAAACAUGGAAAUUCA
rnacentral:lncRNA from 12 species